GGAUAAAGUAGCGAAAGUUACGCUAAUACCGCAUACGAGUCUAAGGAUGAAAGCAGGGGACCUUCGGGUCCUUGUGCUCCUGGAGCGGCCGAGUAUCUGAUUAGCUAGUUGGUGAGGUAAAGGCUCACCAAGACGACGAUCAGUAGCUGGUCUGAGAGGACGACCAGCCACACUGGAACUGAGACACGGUCCAGACUCCUACGGGAGGCAAGCAGUGGGGAAUUUUGGACAAUGGGCGCAAGCCUGAUCCAGCAAUGCCGCGUGAGUGAAGAAGGCCUUCGGGUUGUAAAGCUCUUUUGUCAGGGAAGAAACGGGAUUGGCUAAUAUCCAGUCCUAAUGACGGUACCUGAAGAAUAAGCACCGACUAACUACGUGCCAGCAGCCGCGGUAAUACGUAGGGUGCAAGCGUUAAUCGGAAUUACUGGGCGUAAAGCGUGCGCAGGCGGUUUUGUAAGUCUGUCGUGAGAUCCCCGGGCUCAACCUGGGAAUUGCGAUGGAGACUGCAAGGCUAGAAUCUGGCAGAGGGGGGUAGAAUUCCACGUGUAGCAGUGAAAUGCGUAGAGAUGUGGAGGAACACCGAUGGCGAAGGCAGCCCCCUGGGUCGAGAUUGACGCUCAUGCACGAAAGCGUGGGGAGCAAACAGGAUUAGAUANCCUGGUAGUCCACGC
rnacentral:rRNA from 1 species